UGGGGAAUCUUGCGCAAUGGACGAAAGUCUGACGCAGCAACGCCGCGUGAGUGAAGAAGGCCUUCGGGUUGUAAAGCUCUGUCACCUGGGACGAAAACCCCGAUGGUUAAUAGCCAUCGGGCUUGACGGUACCAGGGGAGGAAGCACCGGCUAACCUCGUGCCAGCAGCCGCGGUAAUACGAGGGGUGCAAGCGUUGCUCGGAAUUAUUGGGCGUAAAGGGUUGGUAGGUGGUCUUGUUUGUCUAAGGUGAAAUCCCAUGGCUUAACUGUGGAAGUGCCUUAGAAACGGCAAGACUAGAGUCCUAGAGGGGUUUGUGGAAUUCCCGGUGUAGCGGUGAAAUGCGUAGAGAUCGGGAGGAACACCAGCGGCGAAGGCGGCAAACUGGAUAGGAACUGACACUCAACAACGAAAGCGUGGGGAGCAAACAGG
rnacentral:rRNA from 1 species